rnacentral:piRNA from 1 species
UCCAGGCAAGAUGACAAAGUGCCCA